rnacentral:rRNA from 1 species
AUUGAACGCUGGCGGCAUGCCUUACACAUGCAAGUCGAACGGUAACAGGUCUUCGGAUGCUGACGAGUGGCGAACGGGUGAGUAAUACAUCGGAACGUGCCCGAUCGUGGGGGAUAACGAAGCGAAAGCUUUGCUAAUACCGCAUAAGAUCUAUGGAUGAAAGCAGGGGACCGCAAGGCCUUGCGCGAACGGAGCGGCCGAUGGCAGCUUAGGUAGUUGGUGGGAUAAAAGCUUACCAAGCCGACGAUCUGUAGCUGGUCUGAGAGGACGACCAGCCACACUGGGACUGAGACACGGCCCAGACUCCUACGGGAGGCAGCAGUGGGGAAUUUUGGACAAUGGGCGCAAGCCUGAUCCAGCCAUGCCGCGUGCAGGAUGAAGGCCUUCGGGUUGUAAACUGCUUUUGUACGGAACGAAAAGACUCUGGUUAAUACCUGGGGUCCAUGACGGUACCGUAAGAAUAAGCACCGGCUAACUACGUGCCAGCCGCCGCCGUAAGAC